AAGAAAACUUUACUCGCUCACAGUUCCGGAGGCUGCAAGUCUGAUAUGGGAUGACCACCCAGGGGAGGGCCUCGUACUGCCGCAGAGCACACUGGAAAGCAGAAGGGCAGUGGGUGCUUGAGGAAGAGAAAACUCAAGGGGCAACCUUGCUUCCCAACAUCCUGCUGGCAGGAGAACCAUCCAGGCCUGCAAGAGAGGCCCUGACCCCUCUCAUAGACCGGGGCACCUCUUACAGGCCUCCCCUGCCUGCGCUACUGCAGGGACAGUCCAGUUCCACCCUGAGUUUCAGGGGAGACAGGUGCUGUUCCAACCACGGCAGCGUGUGAGGUCCUGGCUGCAGAACGAGUCUCUGAUCGGAUCCUACAAACCGCAGGCAGAUGCUGGACCUGCCGGGAGAAAGCUGAAAAUGCAACUCGGUGCCUACAGUAACAACUGAGACCACCAUCGGACCUGGACUGCCCCUGCCUCUCCUCCCCAGGCCACUCCACAGCAGGGGUCAUGAAUCCAGCCCCAAACUGAGCUCCCUCCUCAUCUAUUCUGGAUAGGCGGAAUAGAUUUGACUGAGCUAUGGAAGACAGUUUGGAGAUACCUCAGAAAUCUGAAUAUAGUUCUACCACACGACCCAGCCAUCCCACUCCUUGGAAUUUACCCAAGGGAAAUUAAAUUGGCAAAUAAAAGAGCUACCUGCACCUCAAUGUUUAUUGCAGCUCAAUCCACAAUAGCUAAGCCAUGGAAUCAACCUAAAUGCCCAUCAACAGAAGAAUAGAUAAAGAAAUUAUGGGAUAUGUACUCUAUGGAAUACUACACAGUGGUAAAAAAAAAUGAAAUCCGGUCAUUUGCAACAAAAUGGAAGAAUCUGAAAAACAUCAUGCUGAGUAAAAUAAGCCAGUCCCAAAGGGACAAAUACCAUAUGUUCUCCCUGAUCUGGGAGAAUUAAUAGUGCUCCUAAAAUGAAAGCUAUAGAAGUGAAACUGACACUAUGAGAAGCAAUGACUUGAUCAGCCCUUGUCCUGACUGUUGAGGAACAGCUUACUAUUUUAUGCUUUUUAUUAUUUUCUUUUCUACUUAAUACCAUUGGUUGAAUUCUUUACUUAACAAAUAAUUAUUUUUAGGUGUUUAAAUUCAACUGAAAAUUGAUUCCUGUUAAAAAUAAGAGUGGGAAUAAGAGAGGAAGUAGAUGUACAAUUUGGCACAUGCUACUUGCCUUGAGACUCCAAAUCCCAUUAAGUUGGCAGGUGCCAAUGCCAUCUUACUAGUUAAAGUGAUCAGUUUAAGUUCAUAACUGAUCAUGAAGAUAGGAUUAAGUGUUAAAGGGAUCACAUAAAUAAGACCAGUGUCUGCUAAUAAUAAUUGAUAGAAUUAAAAAGGAGAGAAUGAUCCAACAUGGGAAACAGGCCACACAGCAGACUCAUAGAAUGACAAAUGUCCUAAACAACACUCUGGCCUCAGAAUCAGCCCUUAAGGCAGUUGAAUGGUUAAAAAGCCCAUGAGAGUUUCUCAGGCAUGGAAAGGCAAGACACUGUGGCAAAACAGACCUACAUGAAAGAUCUCUGUGAGUGAGAUCCCAGUGGAAAGAAUGGGCCAUCAAAGAAAGAAGUACCUUUCUCUGAAGGGGGGAGAGAACUUUGAUUAUGGCCUUGUCUAAAUAAGGUCGGAGUUUGUGAACUCAAGAGGCUUCCAUAGCCUUGGCAGCUCAUGACCAGAGCCUCGAGUGAUUACUGAUGUCAUAAAUAAGAGUGUCAAUUGUUAAAUCAACAA